CCUAACGACUAAUGACUAAUGAGUGAGUUGAAGAGGCAUCUUUGAAGCCAUCUCUACUAAUUUCAGGAUGUUUUUGAGGGCCCUCCAUCUCCACACUAGGACUAUCAACUUCAUAUGGAAAAGUAGUCACACUUCGGUGGGUCUGCCUGAAAAACAGCUCCCAGGACCAUUCUGUUUAAAAAAGGUCAACAUGGAAUAAUAAGGAGAGCAACAACAACGGGGAGCCUGGAAAAGCUUCAAUAAUC